UACGGGGGGGGGCAAGCGUUGUCCGGAAUCAUUGGGCGUAAAGCGCGCGUAGGCGGCCCGGUAAGUCCGCUGUGAAAGUCCAGGGCUCAACCCUGGAAUGCCGGUGGAUACUGUCGGGCUAGAGUCCGGAAGAGGCGAGUGGAAUUCCUGGUGUAGCGGUGGAAUGCGCAGAUAUCAGGAGGAACACCUAUGGCGAAGGCAGCUCGCUGGGACGGUACUGACGCUGAGGCGCGAAAGCGUGGGGAGCGAACAGG
rnacentral:rRNA from 1 species